ACGCUCGACACCUACGUGAGGCAGCAGUGGGGAAUAUUGGGCAAUGGGCGCAAGCCUGACCCAGCAACGCCGCGUGAAGGAAGAAGGCUUUCGGGUUGUAAACUUCUUUUGUCAGGGAACAGUAGAUGAGGGUACCUGACGAAUAAGCUCCGGCUAACUACGUGCCAGCAGCCGNGGUAAGUACUGAGCGGGCGUGGCGAACGGAC
rnacentral:rRNA from 1 species